UUUAGCAAUGUGUACCGGGUUUCAGUAGACAAAAAUACCCUUAUAUCAUGAAUUCUAAGUUUUAAGGUUAGGGUAUUUUAAUAAUUUUCAUUCUCAAAUUAAAAAAAAUAAAAAAAGAAACCCCCAAUCCCUUAUCCACCCCUCUCAUUCCUCUCAACCUUUCUCUUUCAUCUCUUUCACUCCAACAUUUUCUCUGUCAUCCCUACUCUAGCCCUAAUUGAAAAAAAAUCAAAAACACUUGUCUUAUUUUAAUAAUUUUCGUUCUCAAAAUUAAAAAAAAAAGAAACCCCAAACCCUUACUCACCUCUUCAUUCCUCUCAACCCUUUCUCCUUCAUCUCUCUCACUCAACACAUUUCCUCUGUCAUCUCUGCACUAGCUCUAACUAAAAAAACAUUCAUUAUUAAAUAAAAUGGUUAGAGAAAAAAAUACUUACAUAAAUAAAAAAUUAAAGCACCUAAUUUUUUAUUUAUAUAAUUAUAAAUAAAAUUUCAAGAUUUAGAAUUUUUAUUGUUUGAUUUUAUAAUUGAGAAUUUUAUUGUAUUUUGAUUUAUUUUUUUCUUUAGUAAAGGAAAACAAGUUAAUGAAUUUCUACCAAAAAAAUUAAAUGGCCACGCAGCAAUGUUACGUAGUAGUCUCAGAAUGUAAAGAAAUGUAAAGGAAGGAUGCUCAUAAGUCUUGGUGCAAGUUGUGUCCGUCGGCUGUAAUAUAUAUAGUGAAGAUAAUAAAAUUAAAGAGAUUUUGAAUGAACUUUUUUCAAAAGGUGAAUAUGACUCAACUCUUUACAAAAGUAAAUCGUUUAAUAAUGAAUGUUGUUUUAGUUGGGGCUAGUGCAGAGAUGACAGAGAAAAUGUUUGAGUGAGAGAGAUGAAGGAGAAAGGGUUGAGAAGAAUGAAGGAGGUGAGUAAGGGUUUGGGGUUUUCUUUGUUUAGUUUUGAGAAUGAAAAUUAUUAAAAUAAGCCAAGUGUUUCUGAUUUUUUUCAAUUGGAACUAGAGUAGGGAUGACAGAGAAAAGGUUGGAGUGAAAGAGAUGAAAGAGAAAUGGUUGAGAGGAAUGAGAGAGAUGGGUAAGGGUUUGAGGGUUUCUUUUUUAUUUUUAAAUUUUGAGAAUGAAAAUUAUUAAAAUACCCUUAACCUUAAAACUUAGAAUUCAUGAUAUAUAGGGGUAUUUUUGUCUACUGAAACUCGGUACACAUUGCUAAAAUGUACCAACUGAAAAAUAGGCAUACGCAAGUUAGCAAACC
rnacentral:lncRNA from 1 species